CGCUCACACUUCUCAUAUUCCAGCUUCAUGCGGAUCGUCCGACGGAAGAAGCCCUGAGGGACAGUGAGGAGAAUGUGGGGAUUCUCUAGGAGGAUGGCAAAACGUUUCCAAAGCAUUUCCCCAGGUCUGACAUACAGCAGGCAUUUGGGAAAUGGCAGCUCUACUCUCCAGGACAUGUGAUGAGCACCAGCUGUGUGCAGGGUGGGAUCGGACCCUGCCCUGGACUAGCUCAGAAAGAAGAAGUGCAACUGCCUGAGGUCUUGCAGCUGAUGAGCAACAGAACAGGGGUGUGAACGGAGGCUGUCUGGCUCCAGUCCUG